rfam:TPA: Bos taurus chromosome 16, whole genome shotgun sequence.
UCCCUCAUAGCUCAGUUGAUAAAGAACCUGCCUGCAAUGCAGGAGACCUGGGUUUGAUUCCUGGAUUGGGAA